rnacentral:rRNA from 1 species
CAGCAGCCGCGGUAAUACGGAGGGAGCAAACGUUGUUCGGAUUUACUGGGUGUAAAGGGUGCGUAGGCGGCUACGUGUGUCGGAGGUGAAAUCCAGCGGCUCAACCGUUGGACUGCCCCCGAAACUGCGUGGCUUGAGUCCGUGAGAGGUUGGUGGAAUUCCUGGUGUAACGGUGAAAUGUGCAGAUAUCAGGAAGAACACCCGUGGCGAAGGCGGCCAACUGGCACGGUACUGACGCUGAGGCACGAAAGCUAGGGUAUCGAACGGGAUUAGAUACCCCGGUAGUCCUAGCCGUAAACGAUGUCCACUAGGUGUCGGAGGUCCUACCCCUUCGGUGCCGCCGCUAACGCAUUAAGUGGACCACCUGGGGAGUACGAUCGCAAGGUUGAAACUCAAAGGAAUUGACGGGGGCCCGCACAAGCGGUGGAGCAUGUGGUUUAAUUCGAUGCAACGCGAAGAACCUUACCGGGGUUUGACAUCCAGAGGACAGGUGUAGAGAUACACUCUCCUUCGGGUCUCUGGACAGGUGCUGCAUGGCUGUCGUCAGCUCGUGUCGUGAAAUGUUGGGUUAAGUCCCGCAACGAGCGCAACCCUUGCCCUUAGUUGCCAGCACGUAAUGGUGGGAACUCUAGGGGGACUGCCGGUGACAAACCGGAGGAAGGUGGGGAUGACGUCAAGUCAUCAUGGCCCUUACAUCCCGGGCUACACACGUGCUACAAUGGCGCAUACAAUGGGCUGCGACCCCGCGAGGGUGAGCCAAUCCCAAAAAGUGCGCCUCAGUUCGGAUUGCAGUCUGCAACUCGACUGCAUGAAGUCGGAAUCGCUAGUAAUCGCGGAUCAGCACGCCGCGGUGAAUCCGUUCCCGGGCCUUGUACACACCGCCCGUCAAGUCAACCGAAUUGGUUGCACCCGAAGUCGUCGAGCUAACCCGUAAGGGAAGCAGGCGCCGAAGGUGUGGCUAGUGAGGGGGACUAAGUCGUAACAAGGUAACCGUA